rnacentral:rRNA from 1 species
UACGUAGGCAGCGAGCGUUGUUCGGAGUUACUGGGCGUAAAGGGUGUGUAGGCGGUCCUCUAAGUUUGGUGUGAAAUCUCCCGGCUCAACCGGGAGGGUGCGCCGAAAACUGGGGGGCUAGAGUGCGGGAUGGGUAAGGUGGAAUUCCUGGUGUAGCGGUGAAAUGCGUAGAUAUCAGGAGGAACACCUGUGGUGUAGACGGCUUACUGGACCGCAACUGACGCUGAGACACGAAAGCGUGGGUAGCAAACAGG